CCUUGAACGCCCCUUCUGCUCGGCAAAACGUUGUGGGGCCCAGCGGAUCCGGCCUGGCCCAAGGCAGGGGACCAGCCCUCUCCAAGAAAGGAACUAUUAAGGAGUGAGCAGAAUUCCUUCCUCAAGAGAAACACAGUCAUUUCCACAGACUUCUGCACAGCAGAAAGGACAGGUGGCACAAUGACCCGUGGAGCUCGGGGGCCUGCCUCAGCCCAGGAUACGGCUGGGACAAAGCAUCAGCUCACGUCUUACGUCAAGAAGCGGGCUCGUUGAGAGGAAGGUGGGCCCACGGCUGAAACAGUCCGCAAAGGCACAAGCCUCCGAAUGGUCUUUUCUCGAAGAAAAGGGCGAGCCAGAGCAGACCUGGCUCAGGGGUCCGCGGGUGGGAGGCCCUCCCGGAGGUUGUGCCGGGAGCCCCAGCCCCGGGCCGAGCGCGCGGCGGCCCUGCUCUCGGUGCUGCCACCUCGUGGAAGUAGCUGGGAAUUCCAAAUGCUCGGGAACCGCCAGGAAAGGAAAACUUCCUGCUGCCCACCUGAAAAAAAGAAAAAGAAAACAUCAGCCAGAAAGGGCUGUCCGGUCCAGAGUCUCUGCAGCGCAGCAGCCACCAGCCUCCUGACAGCUGCAAACACAUCCCUUGUUAGUCCACUCUGUAGGCCUGUGAGGCCCAGCAACACUCCUCAUGCUGAGCGCCGGAGAAACAGGGCAGGCGCUGCCCCGGACAGCAGGUGAAUCCCGGACCCCUCGGGGACGUGUCCUUUGCUGUGGUUUCAGUCCUGGCAGCCCAAGUCUUUCCCUUCCGGAUCUGGACUUUGUUACGCUGCAGCCCUUUUCAGUUCAGGACUCAGUGAUGAAACAAUCAGUGACCACACAGUAGGCAAAACACAACCUCAUGCACUUCGGGGAAGAGAUGUGACAAGUUAAUGAGAUACAGCCCAAGUGCCUUUCCCACUGCAUCUCAUGCUUCUCCACGGGCGGUCGCAUGCUAACAGGCGGCAGUGUGGCUGUGCCGGCUGACUGACUGAGUGAGUUUUCCGACAUCUGCUCCCAGGCUCUCUGAGAAGACAGUGAAUUCUGCUUGGAGAUGAAAUCACAUAAGCAAGGGAAGAUAGAGCAGAAAGCUGAUGACCCCAUCAAAGGAGUCUGGAGCACUCUUCUGCAAACACUGCUGGACCGGAGCCCGAGAGCCACAUUACUGAAUUAUUCCUCGAACAAUCGUGUAAAUAGAACAACCGCUGUGUAAAUAAGAUCCCGUUUAUUAUGUUAAAUCAGCCACGCUCUUGGGUUGUAGCAGACCUUGUCAGUGUGUUGCCUUUCAUCCCCUCAGAUCACUCGGCCACACUGGUGUGCGUACCUCCCAAUGGCGUUCACACUCGGUGGCCAGCACCGGCGUCACUCCUCAAAGGGCAGCUCGCAGGCUCCCACUUUGCCUGUGGGUCAGGGAGCCCACCCCCCUAAGGCCGCCCUUGUUCUGCGAUAGGGGGUAUGAGCAUGUGAGAAUCCGACCGCCGCCUUGCAGCCGAUGGAAACCAGGUUGAGGGUAAACAGUGUUAUCUUCAGAGCUUCGGGGCAAGGCUGAGCCGAAGUUACUGUAGUGGUUUUAAAAGAUGUCCACAAAUUCUUUGACACUCCUGCCUUCAGGAGGGGGACCCUAACCCCCUUCCCCUCAGAUGUGGGUCAGACCGAGUGACGCCCCUCUAAAGAAUCCGAGAUGGGGAAGUCAUGCUAGGGGACCUCCCAGGCUGGGUCCUGAAAUGGAUGGCUUCUGCCUGGCUCCCCCUGUCGGACUACACAGCUGCGGAUUCCGCAUCAUGAGGACGCUGGAGCAGGCCUGGGAGCGGCCGCUGGGAGAGGACUGAGGCCUCCCGCUGACGGCCAGCGCCACUGGCCAGCCCGCGCGAGCCGCUCCGCGAGGACCCUCUGGCCCCAGGUGAACCUUCACAAGGUGCAGCCCGGCCCGCUUCUCCCCGCGGGCCUCUGCUCAGCACCGCAGCUUGCUUGCCUUCUUCCCUUCCUGCCAUGCCUUCCCCUUCCCCUGGGGGUUUCCCUGGGAAGGCUUCCUAAGAAAUGCCUUCACAAGAAUCCUCGUCUCAGAAUUGGAUUCCACUCUGGGAACUGGUUAAAGCUUCUCAUAAAAUUGUCCCAAUUUAGGGUCCUUUUUCCCACCCCAAGUUCUCUUACACCCCAAAAGAAUUGUCUUUUCUAGUCCUCUUUCCGUGAUAACUACCCUCACUCCCUUCCUUCACCAGCUAGGCCGCUGCAACACCCCUUGCUCCGCCCGUGGACCACGGGAGGGCAGGAGGCUGGGGUGAUGAAACCAAGCAAAACAGUGAGAGGGCCCUUACUACCCGCCAGCUGGCAACGCGAGCCUUUAGCCGCCCUGACGGAGGACCCCACUCCGCAUCCGCAGCCUCAGGGACCCGUGGGAGCCUCGGGUCUGCCGGGAGGAUGGAAGGUUCUGCCGCUGCCCCGCCUGAGCUGGGGGUGGGAGAAGCCCCCUGGGCUUGGGCCACGUGCGAAGCAGGCAGAAGUCCCUGUGCAGAUGGAGCGCUUCCCUGGGCAUUUUGCAAAGCGAACUUUUGAACAAAUGUCAAUCCUUUUUAUAAGUAAGCUCAAAGGUGACACAGGUUCUGCAAAAUCCAUGCUCUGUGAGUCUCACCGAAUGAGGCAAAACAAAAGCCCGAAUAAUCUUGGGGGGUUUGCAACAGGGAAACCCAUGGACUUGGGGUCAGUCCCACUGUGACACACACUGUGCUGAACUGUCAGUCACCAGAGGACACGCACAGCCAGAGACGACAGGAAUGAACCCGCGGGGAAAAUCCGCACCCAGACUGUCAGAGACUGAGAGAGAGCAACCUUACUCUAGUGCUCUCCUUCCUCCUCAGUGCUCUCCUUCCUCCUCAGUGCUCUCCUUCCUCAUCAGUGCUUGUUUUCCUCAUCAGUGCUCGUCUUCCUCAUGAUUUGUUUGGAUUUGCUAAAUACAACAUGGACUGGCCAGAUUGACCCUGGCCACCAUGGACAUGAUGGAUGUUCCAGCCCCACCACACUCCCUCUUCAUUGACAAAGAGGAAAAGCCACUUGUCCCAUGGCAACGCUCACACUUGCAACUGUGCCAGUUACGGUGACGGGCAGGGCAGACCUUGAGGAGCUGGCCUGAGGGGAAGUUCAGAAGUCCGCUGGAAACGUUCACAACAGCUUGUUUGCCAGCUUCAAGGACUGAGCCAAUUAUGUAGCCCCACAAUGAAGAGAAAAUAUUUCGAAUCCUAUUGAGAGAUUCCACAUCGCCUCACCCGCAGCGCAUCCUUCCGACCGUCGGAACCGAGGAGGGAAAGGCUGGCACACCUAGAGGAGCAGCACGUUUCCGUGGUGAAGACAUGAUGGAAAUGCUGGGAGUUUUAUCAGUUUUAUUCAUCUGAGAAAUGUACUCAGAGGCAUCAUGUUCCCAGAUCCACAACUGAUAUCCAAACCAAGGAAUGUGUAGAGUUAUAUGGUGGGAGCUGAAAAUAGCCAGACUUGUGAAAAACACAGCACAGGAAGACUGAACUCCCUCUGGAGACAAUGAGAGAGAAAGAAAAGACGAUUUUUACACACGCGUGCACACACAGACAGUACUGCACAGAGAGAGAACCCACCAAUGCAACAAGAACUGGGGCUGUUGAAGAGUCCCUGCGAUAGGAGGGAGCCAGAUACCAGCUGAGACAUGUUGCCGAACAAGUGGACGAUCCAGGAGGAUUCGACUGGAUGAACCGACGAGAGGCCUGGCCGGAGAAGGUCCCCCAGGAGGUGUGAGACAUAGUAGUGCUUUCAACUCGAGGGAUCGGGAUUUUUUUUUAUCAAGCUUUAAAAAACAGGACAAAAGAGAUCAUAUGGUAAGGUGCCAGGCUCCUAUUAUUUCUUGGCUUGAAUCCUAAAAACCAGGGCCAAAGGGAAGAAUUAAGUGUGGUUUAACACGCACACACAAACACAUAUGCACCAAUUUUUUAAAUAUAUAAAUUGCGUCUGCAGAGGCGUUUCCACCCCCGGUUGCCUAUGGUGAGAAAUCAGAGGCUGUUUAUAAAAAAUCCUCCGGGGAAGGAAUGAAGGAGACAGAUGGUUAGUAAGUCGGAAGCAUAACACGAGAGACCAGUCCACCCCUUCGUUCAAAGGAAAGGGCAGUUUCAAAGCUCCUUCUUCAUUUGGGUUUAGACCCCUAAUCAAAGGCUUCUGGGCUGCUUCCAUUCUUUCAUUGCGUGGCCUUUCUAAUCUAUAAUGUUGCUCCGUCUUUAAAGAGCAGUCAUCUGUGUGUGCCUGCAACAAUUUACUGCUCAGUUUCUUCAUGUGAAUUGUGAUUAUAAAAAGGCUGGAUUCACUUAAUCUCAACACGAGGACGUGUUGACUUUAGACGACGUGGGCUCUUGUUCCAACAGGCUUCGUCGUGCUUUGGUGGCUAAGGAAAGCUUCCUUCCUUGACCAGUGGUGACUAAGUCUGGCUCAAAGAGUCUUGAAGAAAUCCAUCAACAUGUGGCUACACGUUAGCAGAAGAAAAUAUGACCUAAUCUUGAAUCCCUAACGAGUAUUUUCCACAGAAGAGCAAGGGAGGAAGAAACUGAUUUUCUUGCCUGUUGCUUAAAUUCUUACUGUCUUUAUGUGUUUUCCAUUCAUUAUCAUGUUUAACCCUCAGAACUGGGGCAGGAGUAUUUUUAGAGGAGUUCCCUAUGAGGCUCAGAGAGGUUAAGUAACCUGUUUAUCAUCACACAGGCAGUCGGUGUGACUCCAAAGCCGAAGCUCGCUCUUUCUCAGCCUUUGGAACCAUAUAGUAUUCUUCCUGCAAUGAACCUGACAUUCUGGUCAUAACCAGUCAUGAUACAGUUUUUGUUUACUCAGAACUGUAAUGUCUAGAAAAAAGAAAGUACACUAGACUGGCUGGGCACAUAGUGGAUCCUGAAUAAAUGGUUGCUGAUUGAGUG
rnacentral:lncRNA from 1 species